UACGGGAGGCAGCAGUGGGGAAUUUGACAUGGGGAAACUGAUCAGCAUCCGCGUGUAUGAUGAGCUCGGGUGUAAAGUACUUUUGCAGAGAGAAAAGGUAUCUCUAUACGAGAUACUGCUGACGGUAUCUGCAGAAUAAGCACCGGCUAACUACGUGCCAGCAGCCGCGGUAAUACGUAGGGUGCAAGCGUUAAUCGGAAUUACUGGGCGUAAAGCGUGUGUAGGCGGUUCGGAAAGAAAGAUGUGAAAUCCCAGGGCUCAACCUUGGAACUGCAUUUUUAACUGCCGAGCUAGAGUAUGUCAGAGGGGGGUAGAAUUCCACGUGUAGCAGUGAAAUGCGUAGAUAUGUGGAGGAAUACCGAUGGCGAAGGCAGCCCCCUGGGAUAAUACUGACGCUCAGACACGAAAGCGUGGGGAGCAAACAGGAUUAGAUACCCUGGUAGUCCACGCCCUAAACGAUGUCAACUAGCUGUUGGGGCCGUUAGGCCUUAGUAGCGCAGCUAACGCGUGAAGUUGACCGCCUGGGGAGUACGGUCGCAAGAUUAAAACUCAAAGGAAUUGACGGGGACCCGCACAAGCGGUGGAUGAUGUGGAUUAAUUCGAUGCAACGCGAAAAACCUUACCUACCCUUGACAUGUCUGGAAUGCCGAAGAGAUUUGGCAGUGCUCGCAAGAGAACCGGAACACAGGUGCUGCAUGGCUGUCGUCAGCUCGUGUCGUGAGAUGUUGGGUUAAGUCCCGCAACGAGCGCAACCCUUGUCAUUAGUUGCUACGCAAGAGCACUCUAAUGAGACUGCCGGUGACAAACCGGAGGAAGGUGGGGAUGACGUCAAGUCCUCAUGGCCCUUAUGGGUAGGGCUUCACACGUCAUACAAUGGUCGGGACAGAGGGUCGCCAACCCGCGAGGGGGAGCCAAUCUCAGAAACCCGAUCGUAGUCCGGAUCGCAGUCUGCAACUCGACUGCGUGAAGUCGGAAUCGCUAGUAAUCGCGGAUCAGAAUGUCGCGGUGAAUACGUUCCCGGGUCUUGUACACACCGCCCGUCACACCAUGGGAGUGGGUUUCACCAGAAGUAGGUAGCCUAACCGUAAGGAGGGCGCUACCACGUGAUCGGGC
rnacentral:rRNA from 1 species